rnacentral:rRNA from 1 species
UUCCGGUUGAUCCUGCCGGACCUGACUGCUAUCGGAUUGGUACUAAGCCAUGCGAGUCGUUGUAGCAAUACAAGGCGGACGGCUCAGUAACACGUAGUCAACCUAACCUAUGGACGUGGAUAACCUCGGGAAACUGAGAAUAAACCGCGAUAGAUCAUAAUGCCUGGAACGGCUUAUGGUUCAAACAAUUUAUUGCCGUAGGAUGGGACUGCGGCCUAUCAGCUUGUUGGUGAGGUAAUGGCCCACCAAGGCUAUAACAGGUACGGGCUCUGAGAGGAGAAGCCCGGAGAUGGGUACUGAGACACGGACCCAGGCCCUAUGGGGCGCAGCAGGCGAGAAACCUUAGCAAUGUGCGAAAGCACGACUAGGUUAAUCCGAGUGGUUCCUGCUAAAGGAACCUUUUGUCAGUCGUAAAACCACAGACGAAUAAGGGGUGGGCAAGUCUGGUGUCAGCCGCCGCGGUAAUACCAGCACCUCGAGUGGUCAGGAGGUUUAUUGGGCCUAAAGCAUCCGUAGCCGGCUUUGCAAGUCUCCGGUUAAAUCCAGCUGCUCAACAGAUGGGCUGCCGGAGAUACUACACAGCUAGGGAGCGGGAGAGGCAGACGGUAUUCGGUGGGUAGGGGUAAAAUCCACUGAUCCAUCGAGGACCACCAGUGGCGAAAGCGGUCUGCCAGAACGCGUUCGACGGUGAGGGAUGAAAGCUGGGGGAGCAAACCGGAUUAGAUACCCGGGUAGUCCCAGCCGUAAACGAUGCAAACUCGGUGAUGCAUUGGCUUAUGGCCAAUGCAGUGCCGCAGGAAGCCGUUAAGUUUGCCGCCUGGGAAGUACGG